rnacentral:misc_RNA from 1 species
GAACGCACCUUGCGCCCUUUGGCCAUUCCGAAGGGCAUGCCUGUUUGAGUAUCAUGAACACCUCAACUCUCAUGGCUUGCCAUGAUGAGCUUGGACUUUGGGGGUCUUGUCGGCCUGCGGUCGGCUCCUCUCAAAUGGAUCAGCUUGCCAGUGUUUGGUGGCGUCACAGGUGUGAUAACUAUCUACGCUUGUGGCUUUCCAUCAGGUAACCUUCAGCGAUGGAGGUUUGCUGGGGGCUCAUAAAUGUCUCUCCUCAGCGAGGACAGCUUUUUUGAACGUUUGAUCUCAAAUCAGGUAGGACUACCCGCUGAACUUAAG